GACGAACGCUGGCGGCAUGCCUAACACAUGCAAGUCGAACGAUACCGUCAGGUCUUUGGGCGCACGGGUUGGGAACCGGUCGGAACAUUCACUUAUGUUUGGAAUACCUCCCCGCGGGGGGUGCUAAUACCGAACGAUAUCUACUGCCCAAGCAUUUGUGGCGUUAGGAUGGGUUUGCGUGGAAUUAGCAAGUGCGUAAGGUAAAAGCGUACCAAGGCGAUGUUCGCUAGCUGGUGAGAGAGACAGAUCAGCCACACUGGGUCUAGGACACGGCCCAGACUCCUACGGGAUGGAGCAGUGGGGAAUAGUGGAACGUGGGCGAAAGCAUGAUCCUGCAAGGCCCGGUGAGCGAUGAAGGCCUUAGGGUUGUAAUGCUCUUUUAGCCGGGAUGAUAAUGACAGUACCGGGAGAAUAAGCGCCGGCUAACUCCGUG
rnacentral:rRNA from 1 species